AAGGAAUAUUGGUCAAUGGACGCAAGUCUGAACCAGCCAUGCCGCGUGAAGGAUGAAGGUCCUUUGGAUUGUAAACUUCUUUUAUCUGGGACGAAAACGGGAUUUUUAUCUCAAUUGACGGUACCAGAGGAAUAAGCACCGGCUAACUCCGUGCCAGCAGCCGCGGUAAUACGGAGGGUGCGAGCGUUAUCCGGAUUUACUGGGUUUAAAGGGUGCGUAGGUGGGCUUAUAAGUCAGUGGUGAAAUCUCCGAGCUUAACUUGGAAACUGCCGUUGAUACUAUAGGUCUUGAAUUAUCUGGAGGUAAGCGGAAUAUGUCAUGUAGCGGUGAAAUGCUUAGAUAUGACAUAGAACACCAAUUGCGAAGGCAGCUUACUACAUAUAAAUUGACGCUGAGGCACGAAAGCGUGGGGAUCAAACA
rnacentral:rRNA from 1 species